rnacentral:lncRNA from 1 species
GGCGAGGAUGACGAUGUCGGUGACAUAAUGUUCGGUGUAUGCGGCAUCCAUAGCAACAACUGUCAAGUUGUGAUGGGCUAUCUUGAAGAAAAGGUUGUUAUUGAGCGCAGUGUUGACCAUUCGCAGCAAGUAAGUCUCUCCAUGUUUCACCUUAAGCUCAUAUAUCUCUAAAAUAUGAUCAAACUAUCAUAUAUUAACUAUAUGCACAUAUACAAUCAUACAAAGUAGUUAAGAUUAAUUUUCUAAAAUGCAUAAAUAAAAAAUAGUAUUUAUAGACUGAGGAUUGCUUGCAACACUCACUUUUCAAUACUUUCUUAUUGAUUGGCGAAAUUUCAUGUAGGUCCUACUAAUUUGGAGCGAGGCUCCUAGUUUUAGUCAACCUUACAUGAAUUUCGAUCAAUUAAUGAGUGUUGAAAAGAGACUAUUACUUCUACAAGACCAUGUUUUAAAAUGCAAUAACACUUUGAAGUUUCUGAUCAUAUGUCAAGUUAUAUGGAUGUUGGAGAAGGAAGCAACUUACGAAUUUGUGAACAAUUGAAGAGAUCACCGGGUAAACCAUUGAUGGUGAAACCAGUAGAUGGAAUUUUAUCUCCUGUGGCAAGUUCUUUGCUGAG